GAUUCUGGCUCAGGAUGAACGCUGGCGGCGUGCCUAACGCAUGCAAGUCGAACGAAGCACUGUUGAUGGAGAUUCGUCAAAAUUGACUUUGACUUAGUGGCGGACGGGUGAGUAAUGCGUGAGCAACCUGCCUUUCAGAGGGGGACAACAGUUGGAAACGACUGCUAAUACCGCAUAAUGUAUUUAGGAGGCAUCUCCCGGAUACCAAAGGAGCAAUCCGCUGAAAGAUGGGCUCACGUCUGAUUAGCUAGUUGGUGAGGUAACGGCUCACCAAGGCUGCGAUCAGUAGCCGGACUGAGAGGUUGAACGGCCACAUUGGGACUGAGAUACGGCCCAGACUCCUACGGGAGGCAGCAGUGGGGAAUAUUGGGCAAUGGGCGAAAGCCUCGACCCAGCAACGCCGCGUGAAGGAAGAAGGUCUUCGGAUUGUAAACUUCUUUUAUGAGGGACGAAGGACGUGACGGUACCUCAUGAAUAAGCCACGGCUAACUACGUGCCAGCCGCCGC
rnacentral:rRNA from 1 species